rnacentral:lncRNA from 1 species
UUAUUUUCUGCAGCAACUUGCAGCAGUCUAAGGAUAUGAGGAGAGAAAGACCCCUUGGAAGUCAUUCAUAACCAGUCAAUGAUACAAUAUAAGAAGAAUGGGGGAUCUGGAUUUGAUAGCAAACAUAUCUUUGGAAUGGCUGACUGCAAGGUCUAUCCCAGAGAGGCAACAUGAUUCAACAGGCAACCUGGAUCCUCCAACCCGGAAAACUUCAAGGAGCCAGAAGGCAUUUGACAGUCUGGCUCUGGCGGUGAGAGAAUGGAAGAAAUGGAAGUGGCGUUUCCAAGGGAAAGUUCUUUGCUACCAUGAGACAACAACCAAGGGAGAAGAACCGACCUGACCACUCUAAGGAGUUGUCAUUUCAUCCUGAGACCAUAGGAAGCAUAUGAAGAACUUUUUACACAGGAUGAAUGAUCAGACCUGCAUUUUAGAAAGCUCCUUCUUGUUGCUGUUUGGCGAGUGCAUUAGUCUGAAGAGAUGGACAUGGAUAUAAGAAGUCCUGUUACACUAAGUCAUUAUACCAGUGAAGGAAAGGUAAGGUGGGAAGAUAACACCCAAGACUUUCUGACUUAAUGAACGAGAAGGGCAGUGGCCCAAAUCUCUCACAUUUGAGCAGUUGGUUUAGGUGAAGGGAAUAGGAAGAUAAUAGUCCCAUUUUUGGCAUUUUGAGUUUGAGAUGUGAGUGGAAUAUGCAAGUGAUCCUGGUCAGUUGGCAGUUGCAAUAUCAGACUCCACGAGCCCCGGGCUGCAGAUGGAG